GAUGCAAGUCAAGACAGGUUCUUCGUAAUCAUAUUUGCUGAUAAAUAACCUAUGACAGCUAUUAGUCUACUAUAGCGCGAGUCGGCUUGGUUGGUUGCUGUCUCUCCCUCCCUCCUCCCCAUGUCACUUGCUCAGAGUACAGACCCUCCCCGCCUGCUAGAGCGGCGCCUCUCCCUCGUGAUUUAUCAGCUCCGGUUAAUAAAGUAGCUUUAAAAAUUUAAAAUAAACUUUUCUGCUGCUUUCUACACUUGGAUCGGAUCUGGAUCCGACCAAGUCUCUACGAAAUCGGUCUAGUUGUCCUCAAUUCCAUUUGGAACGGGUCUCUAUAUUUAAAAAAAAAAAAAAAAUUAUGCGCAUCCCCAGGUACAUGUCGGAACAGGUCCAACUUUUUGGAACCGAAUCUUUGAGUGUUAUGAUUCAAACAGGAGCUGAGGAGCUGUUUCUGCAAGGACAGGACGUACUUCUGGACGGUGAUAGCGACUCCGACUGGGAGCCCCCGGUGCCAAACUGCCCGCUCUAUCUCUGCCCCCUCUACUCCUGCCUCCAGUGGUGUUCAUAUGCCACAGUUCAUUACUGCAGGCAUAACUGUGUCUCAGGGCCAAAAGGGCACAGCAUGGAGGUGUCGUUGUGUUCUGUGUCACAUGACCUGCACCACUUGUUCAGUUUGCCUCUGCUUUACAUCAGAAAGAGACUGCUAUGGGACAUGGCACAGGCAGCAAAAUAUUGUGUAGAGGACUUCCAAAGGGUGUACUGUUUUUUUUUUUUUUAAAUGUUAGAAAAUAAAUGUUUUAACAUUUUUUUUGUGUAUGUUAGAAUUGCUUUUUGAUAUGUUGUAUAUAGUUAUUUGCACUGUUGUAUAUAGUUAUAGGUAAUUUCACCAAUUCGGCCACUUGGGUACAUUUGGGCAACUUGUGUGGGACACCUGGGUGACUUCAUGCUAAAUGUCAUGUAGCUCACCCAUUCCUGAAGUUAUCAGUCUGAAACUUUGCACACCUACAAAUUAUCUCCAGCUAUUCUAGUACAUGUGAAAGAUGAUACUACAAUAAAAAACAGAAAACGUAUGCUCUUUCUUUCUCUUUUCUUCCACCAGAUCUACUGUGUUAUAUUCUCCUACAUUCAAUUAACAUUUCCACAAACUUCAGAAUGUUUCCAUUCAAAUGAUACCAAGAAUAUGCAUAUCCUUGCCUCUGGGGCUGAGCUACAGGAAGUUAGAUUAGGGUAUGUCUUCAGGUGGAAAUUGAGAACAAGGAAUGCAGCCAUAAGAGGUACAUACUUGUCUGUCACAACAACGUGAUUUACAUUAUACUUAUUCUGCCACGCUAAUGUGUUCCCCGACCUGCCAACUCUAGUGAGAGAAGUUCAUCUCAAUCUAAUUCGCUAGUCUUAGAUAUGUCGCGUAAAUACUUAGUCUUUGCCUGCCUUUGAACGGUCUAGGUAAUUAGAAAAGAGGAUUUUUGCCUAUAUGUGACCUACCGGCUUAAUCCGGUCUUAUGUAGCGAAAUUUGAAAUGGUGGAAUCUACAGGUUUGCAUAAAUAUCCAAAUGCAGAAGAAUAUUAUAGCUGUUAUUUGGAUACAGCUCACUAGUCCUUACUACAAGCUAACUAGCAAGCUUUGUGCAAUACACAUAGCUAGUGAGAUACAAACAAGUGUUACCGACUUACCAGUGAUGAAGUGCUUUGAACACACAUACAUGUAUUGAGUAACAGGAGCUCACAGCUUUCAAUCAUAAUCAUCACAGCGUAAUUGCCAGAAACCAUGAGGUACUUCUAACCUGGUUCAUGUGCAGUUGAUGAAACUUCAUUUGGUUGUCUUUUUCUCCUAAUAUUGUUCAAACAAAAUGGUACGUAACAGCUUAUCAGCAUCUUAAAAGCAGAGCUAUUUAAGAAAGUGUUGGAAUCGUCUUUUCGGCUGAUAAUCAUGACGUACCUUCCAUGCGACAGUGUAUCUGUUCAUGCUAACAUUUUACAUUUAGAUGAAAGUGUAUUUAAUUAAGACACCAUGGAAGUAUGUUAAAAGUGACCAACCAAGCACAUACAAAAUGUUUAUAGAAUUAAUAAAAAUGUAAAAAUGAAUACAGCCGUUGUCAUGUUAUAAGUAGGCAAUUUAACAUAUGCGCAAUGGGCUGUACCAUACUCAGGGGCCUGCCUACAGUAUCUAUAGGUUAAUUUACACAACAAUGUCUUGGAGUGUGCCGUUCUGCAUAACAGAUAUUGGAAUGGUGUUCUGUUCAUUCAAGGCUUACAAACGCUAUAAUCUAAUUUCCCCAUCCAUCUCCCUAUCGACUAUUUAAAUUUACAGGCUGCAAGUCAAUGAAGGACUUUCUGGUCUCUUAGAAGCUGGGUCGGAAUGUCUUCCUGCCAAUCUUGUAGACUGGUGUGGGAGGACCACUGGCAGAAGUCUUAAAACGAUGUCACCUUGUGCAUCUGGAGAGAAAUGUUUAGUGAUUAACCUGAUCGUUUCAGGCAAAAAAAUGAAUGAGCAUCUGGCACCACCAGAAUGGUUCUUUCAAACUAUACCUGCACUUUGAAGAGAAGAUCUUGGGCCUGCUCGUCAGCUGGCAAAGCAAAGUUUUUGGUCCUUGAAGACCCCGAUCCAGUUCAGUGAGGUUCACCGAGCAGUCCGGGGUUCAAAUAGAGAAGUCCCGAACAAUCUGUAGUAAAGCAGACAAACAAUUACUUUUCCAUUGCAGUUAAUCAUUAGUCUAACACCUAACUCUCAAAGUCAUCCUGACCUUAGUCUGGAAAGGCUCUUUGAGGUUGUCGGCACAAUGCGUCGAUAAUGAAGGGGGCUGUGCUUUUACUGGUUUGCGCACCUCUGUGUCUCACUCAAACGGUGCUCAAACACCCACAGCCACACUCAGCCCCCUAGCACCGCCCCCUUUUAUUACAAUGGUUGAAUUUUCUAAUCUUAAACAAUGAGAAGUCUCAACCCGAGGGGGGAAAAAAAACAUUGAGAGAACCUGUCGCACAAUUUAUGAGUGAACAUUGCAUUAACAAACAGCCUCCUUUCCAGACCAGUGUGGUCAUAUCCAAUAUUCCCUCUAAACUGGACGCAGGCGUGCAGCUCCCCGGGACUGUCACGCAGAAAAAAGAUCAGCCCUCGCAGAGAAGCACGAGAUUGAACUUCCAUGAACAUUCUAGAGUUCUCGUUAGUUAACACUAUCAAUGUUUCCCUUUACUGUUGGAAUUGUGAUCGAAUUAACACAAUAUUAUCCACUUUCAAUGCAACAUACCGAAACAAAAUGAAUUAUGCACGAUUUAGUAUCCAAAACGAACUAUUCAAGAGAUCUUGAUAUAGGCAUAGCGUAUCAGAGUAGGAUUCUAUCGCAUUGACAGGUAUUCCUCUACACAGAUAGGUGCGCCAUAACCAAUCAGAGCUCCAGUAGACCUAUAUGCAAAUAG
rnacentral:lncRNA from 1 species